GUUUAGUUGUCAUGGUGAGAGGUCAGAACAGUGGUCAGUAGGUUUAGUUGUCAUGGUGAGAGGUCAGAGCAGCGGUCAGUAGGCUUAGUUGUCAGUAGGUGAGAGGUCAGAGCAGCGGUCAGUAGGCUUAGUUGUCAGUAGGUGAGAGGUCAGAGCAGCGGUCAGUAGGCUUAGUUGUCAGUGGGUGUGAGGUCAGAGCAUUGGUCAGGAGGUUUAGUUGUCAGUGGGUGAGAGGUCAGAACAGUGGUCAGUAGGUUUAGUUGUCAUGGUGAGAGGUCAGAACAGAGGUCAGUAGGUUUAGUUGUCAUGGUGAGAGGUC
ensembl:lncRNA